CCUACGGGAGGCAGCAGUGAGGAAUAUUGGUCAAUGGACGCAAGGCUGAACCAGCCAAGCAGCGUGCAGGAAGACGGCCCUAUGAGUUGUAAACCGCUUUUGUACGAGGGUAAAUGCCGAUACGUGUAGAGGGUUGCAAGUAUCGUAUGAAUAAGGACCGGCUAACUCCGUGCCAGCAGCCGCGGUAAUACGGAGGGUCCAAGCGUUAUCCGGAUUUAUUGGGUUUAAAGGGUGCGUAGGCGGUUCGUUAAGUUAGAGGUGAAAUCCCGGGGCUCAACUCCGGCACUGCCUCUGAUACUGUCGGGCUAGAGUUUAGUUGCGGUAGGCGGAAUGGAUGGUGUAGCGGUGAA
rnacentral:rRNA from 1 species